ACGCUGGCGGCGUGCCUAACACAUGCAAGUCGAGCGAGGAUUUGCUCAGUAUUGAGUAUUCUAAGAUUAGAAUGUUCAAUUCUGAGCAAAACCAAGCGGCGGACGGGUGAGUAACGCGUGGGUAACCUGCCCUAUACACAUGGAUAACAUACUGAAAAGUUUACUAAUACAUGAUAAUAUAUAUUUGCGGCAUCGCAGAUAUAUCAAAGUGUUAGCGGUAUAGGAUGGACCCGCGUCUGAUUAGCUAGUUGGUGAGAUAACUGCCCACCAAGGCGACGAUCAGUAGCCGACCUGAGAGGGUGAUCGGCCACAUUGGAACUGAGACACGGUCCAAACUCCUACGGGAGGCAGCAGUGGGGAAUAUUGCACAAUGGGCGAAAGCCUGAUGCAGCAACGCCGCGUGAACGAUGAAGGUCUUCGGAUCGUAAAGUUCUGUUGCAGGGGAAGAUAAUGACGGUACCCUGUGAGGAAGCCCCGGCUAACUACGUGCCAGCAGCCGCGGUAAUACGUAGGGGGCUAGCGUUAUCCGGAUUUACUGGGCGUAAAGGGUGCGUAGGUGGUCCUUCAAGUCGGUGGUUAAAGGCUACGGCUCAACCGUAGUAAGCCGCCGAAACUGGAGGACUUGAGUGCAGGAGAGGAAAGUGGAAUUCCCAGUGUAGCGGUGAAAUGCGUAGAUAUUGGGAGGAACACCAGUAGCGAAGGCGGCUUUCUGGACUGCAACUGACACUGAGGCACGAAAGCGUGGGUAGCAAACAGGAUUAGAUACCCUGGUAGUCCACGCUGUAAACGAUGAGUACUAGGUGUCGGGGGUUACCCCCCUCGGUGCCGCAGCUAACGCAUUAAGUACUCCGCCUGGGGAGUACGCACGCAAGUGUGAAACUCAAAGGGAUUGACGGGGACCCGCACAAGUA
rnacentral:rRNA from 1 species